rnacentral:rRNA from 1 species
UACGAAGGGGGCUAGCGUUGCUCGGAAUCACUGGGCGUAAAGGGUGCGUAGGCGGGUCUUUAAGUCAGGGGUGAAAUCCUGGAGCUCAACUCCAGAACUGCCUUUGAUACUGAAGAUCUUGAGUUCGGGAGAGGUGAGUGGAACUGCGAGUGUAGAGGUGAAAUUCGUAGAUAUUGGGAGGAACACCAGUGGCGAAGGCGGCUCACUGGACCGGUUCUGACGCUGAGGCGCGAAAGCGUGGGGAGCAAACGGG